rnacentral:lncRNA from 1 species
GUUGCUCUUGCAAAGGCGGCGGGAGCGUAGAAAGCGUCUGCGGCCUCUGCGGCGACGUUGGUGGGUCCGGCCAGUCUUUCAACUGCGUAAAGAAGGACUUUACGGCUAUGCAACGGAUACGUCAGGAUGACCACGGAUUUUUCAACAAGUUCUUUCGCAAGGCGCCGCAGCUCUUGGACAAGCUAUUGAGCUUUUUAGCAGAGGACCUCACACGGCAGCACCACAUUCGAGAAACCCCUGGAGCCUGGAGAACGACUUGCUGUAGCAUUGAGAAGCAAUGCUUCCUAACGUAUCCAGCCUACGACUGCCUGCUGAAGCCAGCGAUGCUUCUGACUGCGGACUGCUGUGGUGUGCCUCAGAAUCCUCAGGAACCAGAACUUCCUUGAAACAUCGGUGAUUCAAGAGAUUCCAAAAUGUCCUGAGACUCCACAGACUCAUGCGACGCCGAAGACAGAGUCGAUGCUGGCGCUUGUGACUCUUCACUUGACGGUGAUGGCACUUCAAGUGUUGCCAGAUCGGAAAACUGGCACAUUUUUUGUUAAGAUGUCUGCAGCACUUCCCUCCUCACUCGAUGGGGGGCACUGGUGGAAGGUUGGCGGAC